rnacentral:lncRNA from 1 species
AAAUGCACCCACACCUAGUUUUUGAUGACCUUUUCUUCAACCGGCUUUCUUAGAGGUUUCCUUCCAGAAGUAGAGAAACUAAACUAUAUGAAUUUUCAAAAACUGUCAGCAGUAGUCUUUUAUCUCGUAGUGGUCUCAUAUUGAAGUUUGUUCUUUGCAUUCCUCAUGAUUUGUUUCUUCAUCUCUAAUUAGAUAUAGAUAUUUGGAUUAAAAACAUAACAAACAAUGGAGUUAGGGAAGUGCAACUUCAUAAUCGUACAUUGAGUGCCUACAAAAUACCAUCUUAUUUGUUUUCCUGUUCAGAGUUGACUCAUUUGUUUCUAAGUUGUUGUAUGCUCACACCACCCCGGAAAUUUGAAUACUUUUUUAAUCUGAUUACUGUUUUGCUUGUGGGUGUCUUAAUUACAACUGACAUUUCAUUUGGGGCUCAACUUACUGACCUACAUUUGCAACGUUGCAUUGGGAUUGAACAUUUGGGAUGUCAAUAUUAAUAUUAUAUCAAUCUCACUUUUCUGAGUAUUAGCCAUUGUGAUGUAAUUGGAUCAAAUUUCUUGUAUAUAAUCCCAUGUGAAGCAAACACAUGAAUUUAGCUCUAUACAUUUCAGGCCUGGUUCUCAUUUCUAUGUAUACAACUUGGAUAGUUUUAUGAUUAAUAUGCUGGAUAUGAUACCAUGAUUUGAUAUUGCGUUUGUUGGAUGUUUAAUAAAUGUUAUCCAAACUAAUUGCCUCUAGUUGGUAAUGAUGUAAUUCGAUUUUCAUAGGUUGUUUUUGAUAUCAAUAAUCAAAUUUUUUAGAUAUGUGCAACAGAUCACUGUGAAUAUAUGCGUAACAGGUCACUGUGUAGUGUAAUAAGUGUGAGUGAAGUAUGUUUGAAUUUAUAACUCAAAUCCAAUGAUUUAAUUGCUAAUUUGAGAAUGGAAUGGUAGUGUUUAUGUCAAGUGUUCAUUUUCUUCUUAUUUGUGUACAACUUUAAUAACAUGUCAUAAUGCUAUUAAGUAUUAUUCCACCAGUCCAAGAGUAAUUCCUUUUCCUUAGAAUUUUCGAUAGCUUCUCGGGGGCGUAGAAGGCUUAUUAAUAUACAGAUUUUGUUAAGUAUAAGCUCAAUAGAAGUAGUCCGGUGUUAAGUAAAUUCCUUGUCAUCAUGUACAUACGGGGUUGUUCCAAAUUGUGCAACAUAGGACUAAAAAGAACUUUUUCUUUGAGGUAAUUACCUUCACGCACAAGGUUCUCUUAUUUGCCAGAAGAAAAUAAUAAGAGUUCCUUGAUGAAAAAUUCCCAUGUCAUAAUCGAUUGCUCCGCUCGUAAGGUUUGAAACCAAAUGUUCAAUCACUACAACGUUGCAUAUAUAGGUUAGUAAGUUGAGCCCAAAUGAUGUCGGUAUUAACUAUGACACCCACAAGCGGAACACUAUUCAGAUUACGGAAACCUUCAUAUUUCGGGGGUGGUGUAGGCAUACAGUGACUUAGAUCAGAUGAGUCAAUUCUGAACAUGAAAACAAAUAAGAUGGUAUUUUGUAGGCACUGGUUGUACGAUUGUGAAGUUUCACUUCCCUAACUCCACAGUUUGAUAUGUUUUUAAUCCAAAUAUCUAUAUCUGAAUAGAGAUGAAGAGGCAGAUCAUUAGGAUUGCAAAGAAUAAACUUCAAUAUGAGACCUCCACAAGAUAAAAGAAUACUGCUGCCGGUUAUUGAAAAUUCAUAUAGUUUAGUUUCUCUAAUUCUGAAAGGAAACCUCUGAGAAAGCCGGUUGAAGAAAAGGUCAUCAAAAACUAGGUGUGAGUGCAUUUCCCAUAUACCCCUUUAUGUUUUUGAGAGAAUGCUCAUUCUUGCUACACAGUCAACCGGCAAUCACUUUUGAAUUAGGUCUAGUAAGUCACUGGGCAUGUCACUUUUGAAUUAGACCUUAUUCUAUAGCGAUUGCCGGUUGACUGUAUUGCAAGAAUGUGCAUUCUCUCAAAAACAUGGAGGGGUAAAUGAGAAAUGGACCCACACCUAGUUUUUGAUGACCUUUUCUUCAACCGGCUUUCUUAGAGGUUUCCUUCCAGAAGUAGAGAAACUAAACUAUAUGAAUUUUCAAGAACCGUCAGCAGUAGUCUUUUAUCUCGUAGUGGUAUCAUAUUGAAGUUUGUUCUUUGCAUUCCUCAUGAUUUGAUUCUUCAUCUCUAUUUAGAUAUAGUUAUUUGGAUUAAAAACAUAACAAACAAUGGAGUUAGGGAAGUGCAACGUCAUAAUCGUACUUUGGCUGCCUACAAAAUACCAUCUUAUUUGUUUUCCUGUUCAGAGUUGACUCAUUUGUUUCUAAGUUGUAUGCUAACACCACCCCGGAAAUUUGAAGACUUCCGUAAUCUGAUUACUGUUUUGCUUGUGGGUGUCAUAAUUACAACUGACAUUUCAUUUGGGGCUCAACUUGUUGACCUACAUUUGCAACGUUGCAUUGGGAUUGAACUUUUGGGAUGUCAAUAUAAAUAUUAUAUCAAUCUCACUUUUCUGAGUAUUAGCCAUUGUGAUGUAAUUGGAUCAAAUUUCUUGUAUAUAAUCCCAUGUGAAGCAAACACACGAAUUUAGCUCUAUACAUUUCAGGCCUGGUUCUCAUUUCUAUGUAUACAACUUGGAUAGUUUUAUGAUUAAUAUGCUCGAUAUGAUUUUAAUAAAUGUUAUCCAAACUAAUUGCCUCUAGUUGGUAAUGAUGUAAUUCGAUUUUCAUAGGUAGUUUUUGAUAUCAAUAAUCAAAUUUUUUAGAUAUGUGCAAUAGAUCACUGUGAAUAUAUGCGUAACAGGUCACUGUGAAGUGUAAUAAGUGUGGUGAAGUAUGUUUGAAUUUAUAACUCAAAUCCAAUGAUUUAAUUGCUAAUUUGAGAAUGGAAUGGUACUGUUUAUGUCAAGUGUUCAUUUUCUUCUUAUUUGUGUACAACUUUAAUAACAUGUCAGAAUGCUAUUAAGUAUUAUUCCACCGGUCCAAGAGUAUUUCCUUUUCCUUAGAAUUUUCGAUAGCUUCCCGGGGGCGUAGAAGGCUUAUUAAUAUACAGAUUUUGUUAAGCAUAAGCUCAAUAGAAGUAGUUGGGUGUUGAGUAAAUUCCUUGUCAUCAUGUACAUACGGGGUUGUUCCUAAUUGUGCAACAUAGGACUAAAAAGAACUUUUUCUUUGAGGUAAUUACCUUCACGCACAAGGUUCUCUUAUUUGCCAGAAGAAAAUAAUAAGAGUUCCGCGAUGAAAAAUUCCCAUGUCAUAAUUGAUUGCUCCGCUCGUAAGGUUUGAAAUCAAAUGUUCAAUCACACUACAACGUUGCCAAUAUAGGUUAGUAAGUUGAGCCCAAAUGAUGUCAGUAUUAACUAUGACACCCACAAGCGGAACACUAUUCAGAUUACGGAAACCUUCAUAUUUCGGGGGUGGUGUAGGCAUACAGUGACUUAGAUCAGAUGAGUCAAUUCUGAACAUGAAAACAAAUAAGAUGGUAUUUUGUAGGCACUGGUUGUACGAUUGUGAAGUUUCACUUCCCUAACUCCACAGUUUGAUAUGUUUUUAAUCCAAAUAUCUAUAUCUGAAUAGAGAUGAAGAGGCAGAUCAUUAGGAUUGCAAAGAAUAAACUUCAAUAUGAGACCUCCACAAGAUAAAAGAAUACUGCUGCCGGUUAUUGAAAAUUCAUAUAGUUUAGUUUCUCUAAUUCUGAAAGGAAACCUCUGAGAAAGCCGGUUGAAGAAAAGGUCAUCAAAAACUAGGUGUGAGUGCAUUUCCCAUAUACCCCUCUAUGUUUUUGAGAGAAUGCUCAUUCUUGCUACACAGUCAACCGGCAAUCACUUUUGAAUUAGGUAUAGUAAGUCACAGGGCAUGUCACUUUUGAAUUAGACCUUAUUCUAUAGCGAUUGCCGGUUGACUGUAUUGCAAGAAUGUGCAUUCUCUCAAAAACAUGGAGGGGUAAAUGAGAAAUGCACCCACACCUAGUUUUUGAUGACCUUUUCUUCAAUCGGCUUUCUUAGAGGUUUACUUCCAGAAUUAGAGAAACUAAACUAUAUGAAUUUUCAAGAACCGUCAGCAGUAGUCUUUUAUCUCGUAGUGGUAUCAUAUUGAAGUUUGUUCUUUGCAUUCCUCAUGAUUUGUUUCUUCAUCUCUAUUUAGAUAUAGUUAUUUGGAUUAAAAACAUAACAAACAAUGGAGUUAGGGAAGUGCAACUUCAUAAUCGUAUAUUGAGUGCCUACAAAAUACCAUCUUAUUUGUUUUCCUGUUCAGAGUUGACUUAUUUGAUUCUAAGUUGUAUGCUCACACCACCCCGGAAAUUUGAAGACUUCCGUAAUCUGAUUACUGUUUUGCUUGUGGG